GAAAUAUUGCCAUUUACAGCAACACAGAUGGACAGAGAGAUUAUCAUACUAAGGGAAGUGAGCCAGAUAAAGACAAUUAUAUAAUAUAAUUUAUAUGUGGAAUCUAAAAAGUACAAAUGAACUUAUUUACAAAACAAAGACUCACAGACAUAGAGAAGAAACUUACGGUUACCAAAGGGGAAGCUGGGGGGGCAGGGGUGGAUAAAUUAGGAGUAUGAGAUUAACAUAUACACACCACUCUGUAGAAAAUAAACAUGGAUUUACUUUAUAGCACAGGGAACUAUAUUCAGUAUCUUGUAACAACUUGUAAUGGCAAAGAAUCUGAAAGAGAAUCUAUUAAUGAAUCACUUUGCUGUGUAUGAAACUAACAUUCUAAAUCAACUGUACUUCAGUUAAAGAGAUUUUUUUCACCUUAAUACUUGAAGAAAGUACUUUGUAAUUUUGACAGAGUAAUAUAUUUCCAUUUAAAAAUGAACAAUUAGAACCACCCAAAUCCACUAUUGCUUUAAAUAGCUUUAAUAUUUUCUUGCAAAUCUUUUGCUAUAAAAGCACAGUUGCACCUGUGCAAGAAUAUGAUCUUGGUUAAAUAAGGCCUCAAAGCUUCUUAGAUCCUUUACAAGGAAAAUAUAAAAGGGAGCUAACCUCAGCCCUUGGCAUCAGAUGGUUGUGUGGAGACCUUCGGGUUCCCUCCAUUUGGUCUGGAGUCUGAGAUAACAGAUCCUUAGAGUGGGUCCCUAAGGGAGAGGAAAGCUGGCAGUUCCAUGUGGUUUCAACACCGUGCUGUGGUCAGAUCACAAUAUCAAGCACUUACCUACCCACCAUCCUGAGUACUUGACUGUUAGUGAGUUAACCCUCACGCUGAGAAAGUGUGGCAGAUUUUAUUUUCUAAAAGUGGCCACAGCAGUAUUUCUGGUCCCACAGACUCUCUAGAGCCUUGCUAUGCCCCUGAGGAAGUAGUCUGUUUCCUUUCUUCUGGAGCCAGGGCAGAAUUUCAUGGUUGCCUCAACUAAGAAUGUAGUAGAAAGUGACCCUGUGUGACUUCUGUGGCUGGAUCAUAAAAGGUGAUUCAGCCUCUGCUUCCUCUCUUGAUGCAUAUUGUAAGGAAGCCAAGGCCAAAGGGAGAGGCCAUGUCUAAGAGUUAGGGUUGACAGCCCCAGCCAUAGGCUCGGUCACCAGCAGUCACCAGGUGUGGGAUGGGUAAACUUCCAGAGGAUUCCAGCUCCUUGUCUGAGCCUUCCAGCCAAGGCCCCAGUCAUGGGGGGCAGAGGUAAGCCACCCUUGCUGUGCUCUAUCCAGAUCUCUGACUCAUCAAAAGGUUGUUGGACACCAUUAUAUUUUUACAAAGGAGCAGUAACUAGCACAGGUCAGCACUAUCACCUCUGUUUUUCACACAGGUUAAGUCACUGGCCCAGAUCAUUUGGCUAAUGACUAAGUGGUGGAGCCACCAGGUAGCCAGACAGAUUGGCUCCAGGGCCUUGGUCCUCUUUCCUGACUCUCCUCCCAUUAGUAGCAGGAAACCACAGCCCGGGCCUCUGCUGUGAAUUAGGAACUUGGGGUAGGGGCCUCCUUUCGGCAUGAGUUGGGAGCAGGAGCAGGCAGAGCUGGGCUCCCUCCCAGGGGCUCACAGUGACGCAGAUUACUUUCUAUAAAGGGCUAGAUAGUUGAGAUGAGAAAAUGAUCCCAAGUUUUCAGUGCAUUACAACAAAGUUACUUGUUGCUCAAACUGUAUGUUCAUCUUGUUCAAUAUAUUAAAGAAGGCAGGAAUAGAAUAACAACAAAACCUACUCUUAUUUGAAAAGUAUAGAAUAGGAAAUGUACAGCAAACACUGCUGGGGAGCUGACACCCUGCUUGCUAGUCAUUUUGAGGUCCCUCACCCAGAGUCUGCAAAAGAAAAUUGCCCUUUAAGGAUCAUCAGCAGCCAAGAUAACCAGUGUGUUGGCAGAAGGAGGCAGGAACAAAAGAGCUGGGGAGAUUGCUGCGUAGCAUAGGUGGAAAUGGAGAACACUUUCAGGGGGAACGCUUUUCAGAUGGAAGCUCCUGGGCAAGGGGUUGAUUUAGAGCUGCAGCUGCCAGGCUACACCACAGCCACAGCAACAUGGGAUCCAAUCAGCAUGGGCAACCUACACGGCAGCUUGAGGCACACCAGAUCCUUAACCCACUGAGCAAGGCCAGGGAUUGAACUCACAUCCUCCCAGAUACUAAGUCCAGUUCUUAACCCGCUGAGCCACAACGGCAACUCCAUCAGCAAUAAAGUUAUUUUGAUUCAUGCUGUUGGAAUGUGGUUACCCUGAGCCAAAGGUCACGUUUUCUGAAUGCCGAAGACUGCUCUCAAAGCUGUAAUGCAUCUUCACAUCGGCCAUGUGAGGUAGGUACUGUCGAGCUCAUCCAUAUUUUAUAGAUGUGAAGAGUGGGCAGAGGUAUUAUGUUACAUGCCACAGUUCACAUAGCUAAUAAAUAAUCAGACUGGAAUAUCUGAACCCAGGUUCUAAAAUUUUAGGACCUUAACCCUUAUUCUGUGUUACCUUCCCAAGGAUUAGUGUAUAGAAUAAAAUUAUGCGCAUGGAAAAUUAGAAUUCCAUACUUUUCUAAUACUGUAUUUAAAGUGGGAUUAUGGGGAGUUCCCGUCAUGGCACAGCACAAACAAAUCUGACUAGGAACCAUGAGGUUGCAGGUUCUGUCCCUGGCCUCGCUCAGUGGGUUAAGGACCUGGCUUUGUCAUGAGCUGUGGUGUAGGUUGAAGACACGGCUCAGAUCCUCCAUUGAUGUGGCUGUGGUGUAGACCAGCAGCUGUAGCUCUGAUUGGACCCCUGGCCUGGGAACCUCCAUAUGCCACCAGUGCGGCCCUAAAAAGCAAAUGAAAGUAAAAAAAAAAAAAGACAAAACAGUUUAAAAAAUUUAAAAUUCAAAAGUUAUUUAGCACAUAAACUAAGCAUGAGAAUUUCUUUAAUUUUUUAAAAAUUUGUAUACAGAGAAGCACAUACUACUUAGUUCAAUUUAGAUUUUAUGUGAUUUAAAUUUUAUGUGCAUUCUUAACUGAUUUCAGGCCCUAGCUAGCCAGUAAAUGGAUACUAAAAAUUAACUUUCAUCUUUGCAACUUGAAGAAUUUUCAAUAAUGCUAGGGAGAAAGCCAUACUGAAAUUAUCAGUGCAUCUUGAGUGUUGCAGUACGAAGUACUUGAUUUCUGAAGGCUAAUAUAAAGUAAAACCACAAGGUGGCAGCCAAGACACAUGAUUGGCUCCUCAGACAUCUUAAUGAAUUUCUCAAAUGUAGUAAUGUGGGCCAAAGUUUACAACAAAUUGGAGAGAGGACAUAUUCAUCUUAUGGAAUCAAUCUCAGCACAGAAGCUCCACAGUUUACUAUAGAUCACAAUUGAGCGGUUUUAACUUGCUAACAGUAUAUCAUGUUGUCUAAGCCAGUAUGAGCUUAUAUGUGUAUUUUUUUCUGAAACUUCUAUCUUCCUUUUUGAUCCACCAUCCUAAACAGACCUGUACUAAGUGUGUCCUUAAAAAGUAAGAUCUCUUGCACUCAAAAGUAAGCAGGAAUAUGGACAGCCCCAAUUUUUUUUUUUUUUUUUUUCUGGCACCCAUGGCAUGUGGAAGUUCCUGGGCCAGGGAUCAAACCCUUGCCAAAGCAGCAACUUGAGCCAUUGCAGUGACAAUUUUGGAUCCUUAACCCGCUGUGCCACAAGGGAACUCCAACCCCAAUCUGUUUUUAUUUGCCUUUUGAGCAAAAAUUUAUACAAACUGUCAUUAGUGUGAUGACCCUCUCUGGCUAGCCCUGACUCAUCUCAGUUUAUUCUAAUCCGGCUAAAAGACAGAAUUUCGUACUGAGCACUGUUUACCCUUCACAUCACCAAAGGUUCACUAAUGACCCACUGUGAGCAUAAUAACACUGAUCUAAAACCACGCUAAGUCUCUAACAAUCCUGAGAGGCACCUACCACUGUUCUCAUCACCAUUUUAGGGAUGAGGAAACAGACUGGACAAACAGCCCAGACAUUGAAAAAGAAGAUGGUUUAUUCACAGCCACUGGAAUUAUUGUUGAUUAUAAUGGAUACCACAGGAUUUACCACUGAGGCCUAAUGGGUUAAGAAUCCAACUGCAGUAGCUCAAGUUGCUGCAGAGGUGCAGAUUUGAUCUCUGGCCCAUUGUAGCUGGUUGAAGGAAAGGUUUGCUGCAUAGGUCACAGGUGUGGCCUGGAUUCAGUCCCUGCCCUGGGAACUUCCAUGUGCAGUUCAUGUGAGCACAAAAAAAAAAAAAAAUUGAUGCCACAAAAAAGAAUUCUGUACUAGCAAGGCAAUUUUAAUUUGGGGAAUUAAAUGACCCAUUACAAUGACCAUCAUCCUUUAUACUUUACAGGGUUCAGCUCACCAGCAGAGGUUUUAAUGAGAAUGUUAUAAGUUCUGGAGCAGGAUAUUUGAAAGUAGAAGGUUAGGGAAGAACCCUGGAUUUGUGUUGGUUUGUUGCAAGAAGAAGAAAACAUACUUCAAAAGGAUUGGGUAAAGUGGCAGGGUUUCUGGGGCCAAGCGUCAAUUGAUCAGAUCAAAUUUUAUGAAUAAUCUGGGACUUUUUCUAAAACACAUUGAACACAACGUGAUAGCACUCCUAUUACAUUAUCCCCAGACCAAGUGAUGUGCUGUUGUAUUUGGCACAGGGGUGGUCUGGGUUGUGUAGCACUCAGAUGACCACAAGGUGGGGCAAGAUGAUAUUCAGCUGAAUAUGUUCCAUAAGAUUUAGGCAGGAAAUUUUCUCUCAGUUUUAAUGGCUUAAUUAUGUCUAUGUGUAUGUGUGCAUUUGUAGUCUAGCAUUUUUGUAGUCAUAGAUUAAAACCACAACUCCCAGGUGAUAACUUUGUAAACAUCUUUGUCAUAUUGUACCAUGUGAUACAUGUUAUAUACCAUCAUGCAACUAGAAACUACACACUCAAUAGCUGAAAGGAAACGUUUCUAAGAGAGGGCCAGGCAGGUGUAAAUGGUAAAGCCAGCCUGGAUAGGGAGUGGAUGGCUGUGGUGGACGGUAAAGAAAGCCCAGGCCUGUGCAUGGAGCACAGGUGUUCCUCAGAUUCCUCCCUCUCAAUGCCAUGGGCAACAAUGAGGAUCCACAUUUAGGUUUUUAAUUAUUAGUUCAAAUAUCUCUUGUUUUUGGCAAUUCCAGUCCAAAAACAAGAGAUAUUUAAACUAAUAACCACCUCCCAGAGACACACCAAAUCUAUAGCAAGACAGGGGACAAUUCCCUUUGAAAGAAAUGCAGAAACUAGAAACUCUAUACUUUAGGUGAAUAAGAAACAAACAAACAAAAAAACCCACACUGGAAUGUGUAGGAAAGGCUGAGACACACUCUUGUCAUAGCUCAGUGACUUACAAUUGGGAGGGAACACAAAACUCCCAGCUUCUUCCUGAGGAGUAAAGAUACUGGAUCCAACAUCUCACAUUCAGACUUUUAAGACACCCAGCACCUAUAUCUGAAAGCCAACAGGGGACCCUUGAGGCUACAGUGAAUGAAGAAGUUCUUAAGGGGCCAUUGGGAUUCAUCAAGAUUGUCCCCACCAGGGCUCAACACAGAGAGCAGACAAAACACUCAUCUCCCAUUCUUUCCCUGAAAGCAGGAUAUUUGCACAUCUUGAAAAAGCUGCAGCCUGAGGGUCAGGAUCCUAAUUUAGCGCACCUCUAGGGGCCUAGAACUUAGGAGGCCAUCUCCAUGUUCUGCCUCUGCUUCACUCCAGUGACUAUUGUCUCUGUGGAAAGAACUUGUGCACCUGCCACCCAGGGGACACACUCUUUUACCUGGCUCUGGUGGCCAAUAGGUUUGCAUUUGUGAGUUCAGUGGGACUGCUGCAAAUGAAGAAAUAGUUCUUAACCCAGCUUUAUUCCAAGGGCUCAAGGCAAAGUCAGGAGCGGACCAAGUCUUCCCCUGGAAAAGGUAUUUCUGCACACUUUAAAAGCCGCUGCUUAUAAAUCUGACUUCCAAUCAUUAUGAAUCUAGUUGCUGCCUGAGACCCUCCCCUUUGGGACACUGACAGGUUUUGGCAUACAGUCAACUACUGAGAGCCACUAGGAACAAACAAAUCUCUUGGACAAUCACAAAUGUUUGAGACAAACAAGAACAGAGGCAGGGCUGAUUGAUAAGGUUUAUCCUCUACAUGAGAACAUGCUGUCAGGCCUGGGAAGAGUGGUUGUUUUAUCUAAUGCACAGAAACCAGGAUAGAGUCAAAGAAAACGAAGAAACAGGGAAAUACGUUCCAAACACAACAGAACAACAAUAGCAAAAAAGACAAAACUUCAGAAAUAUAUCUUAAUGAAAUGGAGAUAUGAUAAGGAGUUCAAAAUAAUGGUCAUAAAGAUGCUGAUGCUCACCAAGACCAGGAGAACAAUGCAUGAAUGAAGUGAGAAUUUUCUAUCCUAAUAAAGAUACAGAAAAUAUAAGAAAAUUACAAGCAGCAAUUACAGAACUGAGAAAUGCAAUAACUUAACUGAAAAAUUGAAUAGAAAGGUUCAAUAACUGACUAGAUGAAAUGAAAGAAAAGAUCACUUAAAAAAAUAAAAAAUCAGUAAAAAAAAAGUCAGGGCAGUAAAAUUCAAUCAGAGAAGAAAAAAAAUUUUUAAAAAGCGAAGAUAGCUUAGGGGACUUAUAGGACACCCUAAGCAGAACAAUGACCAAAUUAUAGGAGUCACAAAGGAGAAAAAAAGAAAGGGACAGAAAGCUUAUUCAAAGCAAUAAUGCCUGAAAAUUUCCCUAACUGGGGGAAAGAGACAUCCACACAGAAGAAGUCCAGAGAAUAUCAAAUAUAUAUAAUAUAAAAAGACCAACACUGAGACAUACUGUCAUUAAAUUGUCAGUAGUUAAAGAGGUGAUGUCAGCAAGAUGGUUAAGAGGUUCCAAUGAUUGUCUUCCCCAUGAAAGAAUAAUAAAUAAACCAAAGAAAACAGUUCAGGGGAAGCUCUGGACUAUAAAAUAGAUGCUGUAAAACACUGUAGAGCUUAAAAAUCAAGGACGGCUGCAUAGAAAAGUGCAGGAAACAUCAUCCCUCAGUGAAGAGCAGCUUGGCAUCAGGAGGGAUCUUAGGGGAAUUUUACCCCACGGAGAAAACGACAGCAGGAGAACUCCAGCAAGUCCCGUCAUUGUGGACUGUUUGCAGCCUUUGCUUCAGAUCUCCCACAGUAUACACCAGCGCUGAUUCCAGCUGACAGUGCUGCCCCAUUGCAUUUGUUCACCAAAGCUGGAGGUGGCCCUACAGUGAGAUCUGUCUUUCAAGUCCCAGUCGCUGCUGUGCCCUGUUCUCCAGCAUUGGGAUGCCAUGCACCUUACCAUAUAUGAAACUAGAACUGCUACUGCUCUAUGCCCAAUUCCUGAUCCCAGGACACAAUGUUGUCCUAUUAUUUCUGGGACAGGUUCUCCUGCUGAACCCCACCCUGUGGCUUCCAAAUCAUAUUUUGACUGACAUUAUCAAGGACAUCCUGUUUUUGCCCUGAGACCAGCC
rnacentral:lncRNA from 1 species